AAAUUGAAGAGUUUGAUCAUGGCUCAGAUUGAACGCUGGCGGCAGGCCUAACACAUGCAAGUCGAACGGUAACAGGAAGCAGCUUGCUGCUUCGCUGACGAGUGGCGGACGGGUGAGUAAUGUCUGGGAAACUGCCUGAUGGAGGGGGAUAACUACUGGAAACGGUGGCUAAUACCGCAUAACGUCGCAAGACCAAAGAGGGGGACCUUCGGGCCUCUUGCCAUCAGAUGUGCCCAGAUGGGAUUAGCUUGUUGGUGAGGUAACGGCUCACCAAGGCGACGAUCCCUAGCUGGUCUGAGAGGAUGACCAGCCACACUGGAACUGAGACACGGUCCAGACUCCUACGGGAGGCAGCAGUGGGGAAUAUUGCACAAUGGGCGCAAGCCUGAUGCAGCCAUGCCGCGUGUAUGAAGAAGGCCUUCGGGUUGUAAAGUACUUUCAGCGGGGAGGAAGGUGUUGCGGUUAAUAACCGCAGCAAUUGACGUUACCCGCAGAAGAAGCACCGGCUAACUCCGUGCCAGCAGCCGCGGUAAUACGGAGGGUGCAAGCGUUAAUCGGAAUUACUGGGCGUAAAGCGCACGCAGGCGGUCUGUCAAGUCGGAUGUGAAAUCCCCGGGCUCAACCUGGGAACUGCAUUCGAAACUGGCAGGCUUGAGUCUUGUAGAGGGGGGUAGAAUUCCAGGUGUAGCGGUGAAAUGCGUAGAGAUCUGGAGGAAUACCGGUGGCGAAGGCGGCCCCCUGGACAAAGACUGACGCUCAGG
rnacentral:rRNA from 1 species